AUGGCGGGACUCCUUGGCACCGUCGCGCUCCUCCUCCUCCUGUUGACCACCACCGCGGCGACCUCGCCGGCCGACGCCCUUCUGGCAUGGAAGGUUAGCCUAGGCGACCCAACCGCCUUGUCCAGCUGGAGCAAGGCAAGGCCUGUCUGCUCCUCCUGGCUCGGCGUGGACUGCAACGCCGCCGGCCUGGUCACGUCGCUCAGCCUUGGGUCGCUCGGGCUCAUCGGAACGCUCGACGCACUCGACGCCGCCGCGGCGCUUCCAGCCCUGGCCGUGCUCGACCUCAGCGACAACAUGCUCACAGGCUCCAUCCCGGCGAGUCUCUCGCGGCUGCGCUCCCUCGCGACGCUCCACCUCGGCGACAACGGAUUCAACGGCUCCAUCCCGCCGCAGCUCGGCCACCUCUCCGGCCUCGUGGCCCUCUUCCUCUACAACAACCACCUUGUGGGCUCUAUCCCCGCAGAGCUGAGCGGGCUGGUGAGUCUGGAACACUUGGAUUUAUCGGAGAACAAUCUAUCAGGACCGAUCCCUAGCUCCUUGGGCAUCCUCAAGCAGCUCACGUGGCUGGGACUCCGGUUCAACAACCUCACCGGCACCAUCCCACGGGAGAUCGCCGGCAUGAUGGCUUUGAAGGGCUUGGCCGUCCGCGACAACAACCUCGAAGGCGAGCUUCCCGCUACCAUCACAUCGCUCAGGAAUCUCCAAUACCUCGCCCUGUCUGACAACAACUUCACCGGCACCAUACCGCCGGACCUCGGCAAGGGGCUAAACUUAACCGUCGUGAGCUUGGGGCACAACAGCUUCUCCGGCGAGCUGCCGCAGAGUCUAUGUGACGGUCUCAAGCUGCAAAACUUCACGGUACACCGCAACAACUUCAGCGGCAGGCUGCCAUCGUGCCUCAAGAAUUGCACGGCGCUGCUGCGGGUGCUGCUGGAAGGCAACCAAUUCACCGGCGACAUCUCCGAGGUGUUUGGUGUCCAUCCCAACUUGGAAUACCUCGAUGUCUCGGGGAAUCAGCUGACAGGCAACUUAUCAUCGCCUGAUUGGUCACAGUGCACCAAUCUUACACGCUUACACAUGAACGACAAUCGAAUAUCUGGCAACAUUCAUGAAACCUUCUGCAGAUUGACCUCUCUCCAGGAUCUGGACCUAUCAAAUAACCAUCUCACCGGGGAGCUCCCAAAUUGCUGGUGGGAAUUCAAACUUAUGGUUGCUAUGGAUUUGUCCAAGAAUAGAUUUUCAGGUGAGCUUCCUAUAUCAACGAGCCUAGGCCUCAAACUCCAGUCCCUUCGUCUUGCUAACAAUAACUUUCUUGGAGUUUUUCCAUCCGUAAUUGAAACCUGCAAAUCACUCGUCAUCCUAGAUCUUGGGAACAACAUGUUCUUGGGUGAUAUCCCCUCUUGGGUUGGAACGAGUGUUCCUCUUCUAACAGUUCUGAGCCUCCCAUCCAACAACUUCAGUGGUGUCGUUCCACCCGAGUUAUCCCAACUUUCUAAUCUGCAAGUCAUGGACCUGUCCAACAACUCCUUCUCAGGUGAGAUCCGCAUGGACAUGCCAAACCACAAUUGCUCCCUUGAGUCGUUUCAUAUUGCAGGCAAUGGCUUCAUGGGCGCCUUCCCGCCGUUCCUCCAAGGCUGCAACUCCCUGGCCACCCUGGACAUCGGGAACAACCAGUUCUUUGGUGGUAUCCCUAAAUGGAUUGGGAGUCAGCUUCCAUCACUGAAAAUCCUUAGACUUAGAUCAAACAAUUUCACCGGAGAAAUCCCCACGGACUUAUCAAGUCUUUCGCAACUUCAGCUGCUCGAUAUGGCCAACAAUAGCUUGACAGGAUCAAUUCCGGUAGCCUUCAGCAACUUGAACUCCAUGAGGCAUGAUCUUCCCCCAUCGGUCCAACCAAGUCGGAUUUUCCAUUUUGAUAGAGUCAACAUAUACUGGAAGGGCCGUGAACAAACGUUUUGGAACAGCGUCCAGUUAAUAACAGGCAUCGAUCUAUCAUGCAAUCGACUUACGGAGAACAUCCCGGACGAGCUAACAUACCUCAAAGGUCUCCGGUUUCUCAACUUAUCCAGAAAUGACCUGUCAGGCAUCAUUCCAGAAAGAAUCGGCGGUUUGGAGCUCUUGGAGUUCCUUGACCUCUCAUGCAAUGAACUUUCAGGUGGCAUUCCUCCCAGCAUUUCCAAUCUGCCAUCCCUCAGCAUGUUAAAUCUCUCAAACAAUCACCUACAGGGCCAUAUCCCCAACGGGAAUCAGUUACAGACACUUGCAGAUCCAUCAAUAUAUGGCAACAAUCUGGGGCUCUGUGGCUUCCCGUUGAGCGCGUGUGAGCCUACGUUGGGCCAGGGAGCUGGAGACCACAAAGAACUCAGGGACCUGGGGCUGUGUUACUCUGUAAUUAUUGGCAUCGUUUUCGGCUUCUGGCUUUGGUUUGGAGCUCUGUUCUUCCUGGAGCAGUGGCGUUUAUGUUUUCUCCGUUGUGUUGACGGCUUAGGGAUUAAGAUAGUUGUCAGGAGCUAA
rnacentral:rRNA from 1 species